UACAGAGGUCUCAAGCGUUGUUCGGAUUCAUUGGGCGUAAAGGGUGCGUAGGUGGCGCCGUAAGUCAGGUGUGAAAUUUCGGAGCUUAACUCCGAAACUGCAUUUGAUACUGCGGUGCUUGAGGACUGGAGAGGAGACUGGAAUUUACGGUGUAGCAGUGAAAUGCGUAGAGAUCGUAAGGAAGACCAGUGGCGAAGGCGGGUCUCUGGACAGUUCCUGACACUGAGGCACGAAGGCCAGGGAGCAAACGGG
rnacentral:rRNA from 1 species